rnacentral:rRNA from 1 species
GACAGAGGGUGCAAACGUUGUUCGGAAUUACUGGGCGUAAAGCGUGUGUAGGCGGCCAUGUAAGUCGGAUGUGAAAGCCCCGGGCUCAACUCGGGAAGUGCACUCGAUACUGCGUGGCUUGAGUACUGGAGAGGUUGGUGGAAUUCUCGGUGUAGAGGUGAAAUUCGUAGAUAUCGAGAGGAACACCGGUGGCGAAGGCGGCCAACUGGACAGAUACUGACGCUGAGACACGAAAGCGUGGGGAGCAAACAGG